AACGAACGCUGGCGGCGUGUUUAAGACAUGCAAGUCGCACGGGAUUGAUCGAGUAGCAAUACAAGAUCAGUCCAGUGGCGCACGGGUGAGUAACACGUGAAUCACAUGCCCUUCAGAGGGGGAUAGCCCAGGGAAACUUGGAUUAAUACCCCAUGGUCUCGCAAGAGUAAACGGUGGCCGCAAGGCUGUCGCUGGAGGAUUGGUUCGCGCCCUAUCAGCUUGUUGGCGGGGUAACGGCCCACCAAGGCUACGACGGGUACCUGGUCUGAGAGGACGAUCAGGCACACUGGAACUGAGACACGGUCCAGACACCUACGGGUGGCAGCAGUCGAGAAUAAUUCACAAUGGGGGCAACCCUGAUGGUGCAACGCCGCGUGGAGGAUGAAGGUCUUCGGAUUGUAAACUCCUGUCAUCCGGGAGCAAGACCUGGCCGUGAAUAGCGGACAGGGUUGAUAGUACCGGAAGAGGAAGGGACGGCUAACUUCGUGCCAGCCGCCGCAGUAACAC
rnacentral:rRNA from 1 species